UACUCAUAAAUCAUCAGAAAAACAUAGAUAAUAAAGAAUGACACAACUCGUGGUUCCCUGCCCCUCACCUCACCUUAUCCCCAUUGGAUUACAAGCUGCUGCCAUGGAUUUACUUGUGCUACUGAAUUUUGGAUACUUGGACUUCAUUUCUAAGGAUGGCAAAUCACGACAGAGGACCUAACCGAAGCCUAUUAAAAUAUUUUGUUGAAUUCUUUUCACUCCAUUUCUGUUGGCCAUCGUUUAAAAGUUGAGUUGUGUUGUCUUUUAACUUGAUGUUUUGUCUGUAUGCAUGUCAUUUUCAGUAUAAUACUAGCAAGUGGUUUGCUGUUUAAUAUAAGCACAAUGUGCUGUACAUAGCAAAACCACAGAGUAUAUUUUGUAGUCACUUUGAGAACAGACUGGAGUCUGCUGCAGACUGUCUACAACCUUCUGUCUUCACCUUUAUGGCAAUGAAGAUAUUUGUAUAUUAUGUAUACACUAGUAUAGUGAUUGUGUGUAAUUAAAAUCAGCCGUUGUUUAAUUUACUGAUUAAAACUAUCCUGUGCAGCAUCUUGUGUUUAUUCCAUGAAUUGCAAUUGAAUAAAAUGAAUUGCAAGAAUUGUCCUUUAAAAGAUUAAAUUAGGUUUAAAUUGUACAACUACAGGAGAUUUCUAUUUCCAUGAAUACCUAUGUUUGGUCAUAAAUUUUCAAGAUUGCAUUUGAAUUUUUUAUCUGCUGUAUUCUACCAGUGUAAUCUUUUUUCUAAAUAAAUGGAUAGUUUUCUCAGUCGGU